UCAAUUCAUCUUGAAUUCUCCAUCAAUUGGAAGAUUAUUCUUAUGAAUUUGGGUAAAGAAUGAGAGAUGGCAUAUCAAUUGACCUGAAUUGCCACCAUGAGUCUAAGCCGUUACAAGCCGAAAAAUUACCGCCAUGAGUGUAAGAAGAGCUAUCUUGUAGCCACGACAGGUGAUCUAGGGAUGAAUCGAAUUAUGUCUGAGAAGCUGGACCAGAGAGGAAUGAUUGCACAUAUUUGUGCUGUUUUGGAGUUGCAGCAGAGGUUUAUGACAACCAAUAUUUUCAUAAAAACGGUUGAGACUGAGAGAAAAGUUCCAUGGUUCAUCUUAUUUCCUCGAUGUGAGGUAAAGACAUAUAAGUUGCUAAGUGAUUGCUUGUUGAUGAGAGAAUGCUUGAUCUUAAACACUACAGAAAGGUUGCAUCUCGAUCUUAUAUACAUGACACUGACGCAAAACCACUCAUGUAAUCGGUUGUAAUAUAAUCAAACAUUGUGGAUUGCAGGACACAGUGAAUCUCAUGGCAACCGUUUUGUUA